GUUGCUUCUUUGAUAUAAUGGGGUGGCCGCCUCGCUUUUGACAGCGGUUACUCGUAAUGGAGAAGCAUAUAGUGAAAGUGAAAUGCCAGUUUUAAACAGCAUGAUGUUUUUUCUUCUUUAUUGACGUCUUGUUACCUGUCUGCUGGUACAUGC